CCUACGGGAGGCAGCAGUGAGGAAUAUUGGUCAAUGGGCGUAAGCCUGAACCAGCCACGUCGCGUGAGGGAUGAAGGUUUUAUGGAUCGUAAACCUCUUUUAUAAGGGAAUUCAGUGCGGGACGUGUCCCGUAUUGUAUGUACCUUAUGAAUACGGAUCGGCGAACUCCGUGCCAGCAGCCCCGGUAAUACGGAGGCUCCGAGCGUUCUCCGGAUUUAGUGGGUUUAAAGGUUGCGUAGGCGGCAUUUUACGUCAGCUGUGAAAGUCUGUGGCUCAACCAUAGAAUUGCAGUUGAAACUGGGAGGCGUGAGGAUGUGAGAGGCAGGUGGAAUGCGUGGUGUAGCGGUGAAAUGCUUAGAGAUCACGCAGAACCCCGAUUGCGAAGGCGGCCUGCCAGGACAUGACUGACGCUGAUGCGCGAAAGCGUGGGGAGCAAACAGGAGUAGAUACCCCGGUAGUC
rnacentral:rRNA from 1 species